GAGGGAGGAAGUGGGGCGCCUCCCUCUGAAGUCGGAGUAGGGAGCACACAUCGGGAGGGAGGGGGGUGGUCCUGCAAGGCCACUCCCAUCAGUGGAAGCAGAAGCUGAAGGCCCGGGGAGGAGAGCAGUCCCGACACUGAGAAUGAAAAGAGCGACCCGCAGCUCCCUGGGGCCAGGCUGUGCUUAGUGCCGCGUGUCGGCCGGUGCCCGGGGCCGCCUUACAGCCCAGGACAAGUUUCACAAUGUGGCCAACUCAGGUUAAGGUCCCAGCGGAGGGCAUACACCAUGGAGAAAGGUUUCUACGCGGCCUGCUGAUGGAUGGACCUGCGCAGCAGUCGGCCCUCAGUUACCGGAACACGCUGGUAUUGUGGGUGCUCAUCUCCCCCAGAAACCUGGCGGCCGGCGACGUGCCUGUGCAGGCGGUGGCACUGGCACCAAGACAUUCUGAGGACGAGCGUGGCGUUGUCCCUGGAGGCACUGGGAGACGCUGCCUGUGUGUGCCUAACGAUGCCGGAGCAGCUCCCCCGAGCGCAGCAAGCGUGCAUGUAUCCGAAGCUGCUUUACCCUAUUUAUAUUUGUGGACCAUGCAACAUCUUGAGGAACACAUACCGCCGUGGCAGGUUAACUCAUUUACCUGCAUGUAGAGGACAAUGCCAGACUCUCCACAGUUCUCGACACCGUCCCCGCCUUGGACAACAGCCUGGCCUGUAAGACAACCCCCACCGCACAGAGCUCCACAGAGGCGGCGGCGGACGGGGGGGUGAUAACUCUCACAGACGCUCAUGGACUCAGCAAGACUGUGCCAAGAACACGGUGACGAACAAUGGAAACGAGUGGGAUCCAGGCACUGCGCGUUCCCUCUGCAUCGCCAUGAGGAUAUAGCUCUCUCUUCUGAAGAAAAGCACUGCCUGCUUGUCUUUCCAUUUUCUUGCGAAAGAUGGCAGCCCUGGAAGAAAACUACUUAGCCACCUUCACCAAAAACUUGUACAUACCACUAACUCCCCUGAUGGGACCGUGCAGUUAUGGCCACGCUACCAAAAUGUCAGGAGCACUGUUUUGUGGGAGGUGAGGGAAAACAACUCGAUUUGGAAAUCAGGAAUACAAAUGUAUAUGAAUAGACAAAUGACAUUUAUAGAUCCAAAAAUAGCCAUGAAUACAGACAGUUGGCAUCAAGUCAUUAAGCAUGAAGAUGCUGUGGGUGUUUACCACCUUUUUUUAAAAGGUAUUAUUUGCAUUAAAAAUACGCUUUCUAAUUUCCAAAAUAGUCUGUGAAAUGAACUAGGAAAGUUGGGUUAAACAAUAAGGGGAGGAGAAGAAAACACGGGGAAAAGUGGGAACCAUGUCCACAUAACGAUCACAGUCUGGGUUUCAGCCUUUAAUGCAUAUGGGAGAAGACGGCCAUUGCUUUUCCAGUUCUGACUCUGCUCGGCUCCCCUGUAUCCGUUUGUCCAAGCUCCUUCCUCUCCCCGAGCCUUCAUCUCUUCAUCACCAAACAAAGCAAGAGAGAGAACAGGAAGGAAGCCAGCACCGCUACGCCAUGCACCACCUGAGCAGCACCCGGGGCCCCAUCCAGCGCCAGCCCUCUGUGAUCAUCACUGUUUAAAAACAUCUUGUGUGAUUCUGUACAGAUUAAUUAUGUGGGCUGUUGCUAUUUUCCCCCUGCCUUUUGUUUGAAGGAUGUUGGUAGGUAGUUUUGCUAAAUAGGGCCUUAUCUGCUUAAAAUUUCUUGUGUGGUAUCUACCAACAUGACUGGAACCCCCAGUACCUAGGACAAUGAUGGCGAACCUAU